GAUGAACGCUGGCGGCGUGCCUAAUACAUGCAAGUCGAGCGAACAGACGAGGAGCUUGCUCCUCUGACGUUAGCGGCGGACGGGUGAGUAACACGUGUAUAACCUACCUAUAAGACUGGGAUAACUUCGGGAAACCGGAGCUAAUCCCGGAUAAUAUCUUGAACCGCAUGGUUCAAUAGUGAAAGACGGUUUUGCUGUCACUUAUCGCUGGAUCCGGGCUGCAUUAGCUAGUUGGUAAGGUAACGGCUUACCAAGGCAACGAUGCGUAGCCGACCUGAGAGGGUGAUAGGCCACACUAGAACGGAGACACGGUCAAGACUCCUACGGGAGGCAGCAGUAGGGAAUCGUCGGCAAUGGGCGAAAGCCUGACGGAGCAACGCCGAGUGAGAGAUGAAGGUCUUCGGAUCGUAAAACUCUGUUAUUGGGGAAGAACAAAUGUGUAAGGAAAUAUGCAGGGAGUGACGGUAACGAAUCAGAAAGCCACGGCUAACUACGUG
rnacentral:rRNA from 1 species